rnacentral:rRNA from 1 species
AAAGCGUAGUCGAAGGAAAACAGGUUAAUAUUCCUGUACUUCUGGUUAUUGCGAUGGAGGGACGGAGAAGGCUAGGCCAGCUUGGCGUUGGUUGUCCAAGUUUAAGGUGGUAGGCUGAGAUCUUAGGUAAAUCCGGGAUCUUAAGGCCGAGAGCUGAUGACGAGUGUUUCCCUAGAACACGAAGUGGUUGAUGCCAUGCUUCCAAGAAAAGCUUCUAAGCUUCAGGUAACCAGGAACCGUACCGUAAACCGACAC